CUGAUGUUGUGUUGAGUGGUGGUGAGGUCACAUUACUUGGUGAUGGCAUUGCAUUGUGUGGUGGGGAGGUCAUGUUGAUUGGUGGUGGUGUUGCGUUCAGUGGUGGUGAGGUCAUAUUAGCUGGAGGUGAAGUCAUGUUGACUGGUGGUGAUGUCAUAUUGGCUGGAGGUGAAGUCAUGUUGUCUGGUGAUGA